UCUCUUCUCUCUGCAGAGUGGCACUUCUGGGAUGCGUGCGGACGGCAUCCCACCCCUGGCACCCCAAGAGGAGCAGCGAGCCUGGUGGUCUGGAGCAUGGAGAGGCAGGAGUGCAGGGCACAGGCCCGGGCUGGACCCCAAAGGCCUGUACCCCAGCACAAAAAGGGGAUCUGCAAGAAAGCAUCCAUGUGGGAACAGGAGUGAACUGGGAAACUGGGAUGAUUUUUCUGGAGGG
rnacentral:lncRNA from 13 species